rfam:Gossypium hirsutum cultivar TM-1 unplaced genomic scaffold scaffold290.1, whole genome shotgun sequence
UGUUAAAAAUUUCAUCAAUUUGUACUAUUAAAAAUUGACGUGACUGAUGAAAUAACUAAACAGUGACACAUGGUGUGCGACGUGUACCUAAUACUAAUGUACUGAGAUCAAUUGUUAACAAUAGAAAUUGAUGGAUUUUUUAACA